GUAGUGGUAGCUCAGUGGUUAACCUGUUGGACUUCUGCUCAAAGGGUCAUAAGUUCAAAUCCCACCACCACC